CCUACGGGUGGCAGCAGUGAGGAAUAUUGGUCAAUGGCCGCAGGGCUGAACCAGCCAAGUCGCGUGAGGGAUGACGGUCCUAUGGAUUGUAAACCUCUUUUGUCAGGGAGCAAAGGGCGCCACGUGUGGCGUUUUGCGAGUACCUGAAGAAAAAGCAUCGGCUAACUCCGUGCCAGCAGCCGCGGUAAGACGGAGGAUGCGAGCGUUAUCCGGAUUUAUUGGGUUUAAAGGGUGCGCAGGCGGAAUGUAAAGUCAGCGGUAAAAUUUCGGGGCUCAACCCCGUCGUGCCGUUGAAACUGGCAUUCUAGAGUGGGAGAGAAGUAGGCGGAAUGCGUGGGGUAGCGGGAAA
rnacentral:rRNA from 1 species